CGACAACUAAUGUAAAUAAUACCCAACUGAAAAAACCAAGAAACCGCAAUAUAUUUAGUUCUAUUUUAUGUUGUUUUGGAAAUAAUAAUAAUAACAAUAACCCAACAGCUAACUGUCAAGCUCCUGUGGUCGAAGAAAACGGGAAUCCAAGGGUAAGACUAAAUACCAGAAUAAUACUUGAAUAAAAGCACAAACUAUACCCAUAAGACGAUUAAAUGCAUAAUUAACAUUUACAAUAUCAUGUAAGAACAAUAUCACAAUAUCAUCAUGACCAUGGCGAUAUUAAAAUGAAAUAAAAUUUUGAACUGCACAACACAAUACACAUCACAAAUAUUCUCAAGUGCCCCCUGCAAACUGUUAACCACCUGUGAUAGAAACAUAAAGGAAAUCAAAGGGUUAACAAGUGGAGAUAUCAACAAACAUGUCAGACUUAUAACAAAAACCUAACAGCAAACUGUCAAUCUGAUGUAGAAAAAAACCCAACAGAAAUGCUACAGAAUGUCUAUCAUUUCAACUAACGCAACUUUAAGGGUUAUAAACUGCAUCAAUAAAAAUUUUACAAGGUGAUUGCAAAAUAACAAAGUGUGAGGG
rnacentral:lncRNA from 1 species